rnacentral:misc_RNA from 1 species
AACUGAUACUACCUGCGGGAACCUGCGGAGGGAUCAUUAGAGAGUCUCGUACUCCCAAACCCACUGUGAACCUUUCAAGUUGCUUCGGCGGGCGGCCCCUCGGGAGGGGCCAGGCCGCCCCGCGUAGGGGUGCCCGCCAGAAGACCAAAACUCUGUUUUUUAUAGUGGCAUUCUGAGUCUUUACAAAACUGUUAAAACUUUCAACAAUGGAUCUCU